CAGUGGCUACAGAACGAACGCUGGCGGCAGGCCUAACACAUGCAAGUCGAACGCGUGUAGCAAUACACGAGUGGCGCACGGGUGAGUAACGCGUGGGAACCUACCUAAAGGUACGGAAUAACCAACCGAAAGGAUGGCUAAUACCGUAUACACCUCCGGGUGAAAGCGGGGGAUCGCAAGACCUCGCGCGAUUAGAUGAGCCGAUGUCCGAUUAGCUAGUUGGCGGGGUAAUGGCCCACCAAGGCGACGAUCGGUAGCUGGUCUGAGAGGAUGAUCAGCCACACUGGAACUGAGACACGGUCCAGACUCCUACGGGAGGCAGCAGUGGGGAAUAUUGGACAAUGGGCGCAAGCCUGAUCCAGCCAUGCCGCGUGGGUGAAGAAGGCCUUCGGGUUGUAAAGCCCUUUUGUCCGGAAAGAAAAGCACUGGAUUAAUACUUCGGUGUUCUGACGGUACCGGAAGAAUAAGCACCGGCUAACUUCGUG
rnacentral:rRNA from 1 species